ACUUUCAGCCGGUUUCCAGUCCUUGAGCACAUAAAUAAUCAAGAAUGAGACAUGUCAAAACAAGUUGUAAAAUCAAUCCUUUCACUAAUCAUGUGCCAAUGGGUCUAACAACAAAAUAACAGUCAAUACAGGUUCUGUGAACAAGGCGCCGCCAACGAGCAUUAAUAACCAUGAUGCGAAUUUCUUUCGCAAGAACCUCGGGGCAAAAACAAGGGUAGACUUCAUCUAUAGAUCGGAACCAGACUGCACAGUAUAAAAAAUGUAUCCUGGCA
rnacentral:lncRNA from 1 species